rnacentral:sRNA from 1 species
GAAUGCAAGGGUGACCUGGCUGUGACCCUACCACCCCAUUGAUUGCCUGGGCCCAUUAGACUGAUGUGGUGGCCCGGUGUCUUCUUUCUCCCUCACCUCUGUGUACAUCAGGCUUUGCGUUGCGGACAACAGGAAUGACCUUCCCUGAUAAAGGCGGAUUGGUCCUCUGCAAGGCCAGGCAGUGCAGACGUUGUUCGGGGGAGCUUCAAAAUGGGUUUUUUUCUCUGAUCCCAAAAUGACUCCCAAAGCCUAGAGAUGAACUCUGUGGGAAGGGGCUUGCUGGUUUUUUCU